GCCACAAAUGCUAAAAGGUUAGAAACGAAACCAAAGCAAGGGAAAUAAAACCAAGGCGUGGAUUGCUGUCAUACCUUACAGGCCGUAGCCUACAAAGGUCCUUCACCGCCACCUGCUGUUCGACAACCCACGAAACACAGGCGCUCCUCUCCAAUGAGUGAGUUUCAACCUUUAUAGUGGUCUCCAUUCUCUACGAACCAGUUAGUCGACAGAGAAGCCAUUCUUCUGGAGGAGACUGUGGUGGGAGGCUGAAAAGAUGUCUGGAGUUGCAGAUGUGAACAUUGGGAUGUUUCCCUCACAUAACCAGACCAGCGCUACUGUGUCCAGCAGAGAUCUUCAUUUACAUUUUAUAUAGCGCUAAUAAAGCUGUACAUGGGUGGAAACAGAAACUCGCCUCAUCCAUUACCAAUGUGUAACACCCAUCUGAUUUCUCUGCCUCUACAGUGUUUCCCCUAUUGAUUAUUGCUUGGCUGGGUGGAAAAUCUCUCAAAGCAAAACCCCGGGCCUCUGACACCAAAACAUUCCAUUUACAGCUAAUGCUUUUGGGUAGUGGUCAACAGAGAUGGUGCCUAGCCUAUACAAUGGCCUAUACAAACAUUGAACU